AAUCAAUACUGAGAUGACAGUAGCAGGAUGGCAUGUGUGUUGCUGUCAGGGAGAACUGCAGCAACAGCGUUGUACUGAAAAG
ensembl:lncRNA